rnacentral:rRNA from 1 species
GUUUGUCGCGUCUGCUGUGAAAAUCUGAGGCUCAACCUCGGACUUGCAGUGGGUACGGGCAGACUAGAGUGCGGUAGGGGAGAAGGGAAUUCCUGGUGUAGCGGUGGAAUGCGCAGAUAUCAGGAGGAACACCAAUGGCGAAGGCACUUCUCUGGGCCGCUACUGACGCUGAGGAGCGAAAGCGUGGGGAGCGAACAGGAUUAGAUACCCUGGUAGUCCACGCCGUAAACGUUGGGCGCUAGAUGUGGGUCACAUUCCACGUGAUCCGUGUCGCAGCUAACGCAUUAAGCGCCCCGCCUGGGGAGUACGGCCGUAAGGCUAAAACUCAAAGGAAUUGACGGGGGCCCGCACAAGCGGCGGAGCAUGCGGAUUAAUUCGAUGCAACGCGAAGAACCUUACCAAGGCUUGACAUAUAGAGGAAAACUGCAGAAAUGUAGUCCCCGCAAGGUCUCUAUACAGGUGGUGCAUGGUUGUCGUCAGCUCGUGUCGUGAGAUGUUGGGUUAAGUCCCGCAACGAGCGCAACCCUCGUCCUAUGUUGCCAGCACGUUAUGGUGGGAACUCAUGGGAGACUGCCGGGGUCAACUCGGAGGAAGGUGGGGAUGACGUCAAAUCAUCAUGCCCCUUAUGUCUUGGGCUUCACGCAUGCUACAAUGGCCGGUACAAAGGGCUGCAAUACCGCAAGGUGGAGCGAAUCCCAAAAAGCCGGUCUCAGUUCGGAUUGAGGUCUGCAACUCGACCUCAUGAA